rnacentral:rRNA from 1 species
GCAAGUCGAACGGAAACAUGUAUAGCUUGCUAGAUGAUGUCGAGUGGCGGACGGGUGAGUAAUACUUAGGAACAUGCCUUUGGGUGGGGGAUAACUAUUGGAAACGAUAGCUAAUACCGCAUGAUGUCUACGGACCAAAGGGGGGUGCUUGCUCCUCCCGCCCAUAGAGUAGCCUAAGCGAGAUUAGCUUGUUGGUGAGGUAAAGGCUCACCAAGGCGACGAUCUCUAGCUGGUCUGAGAGGAAGAUC